UGGGGGAUAUUGCACAAUGGGCGAAAGCCUGAUGCAGCGACGCCGCGUGGGGGAUGAAGGCCUUCGGGUUGUAAACUUCUUUUGCUCUGAACAAGGCGCACCAUGGGGUGUGUUGAGUGUAGGGGUUGAUUAGCGCCGGCUAACUACGUGCCAGCAGCCGCGGUAAUACGUAGGGCGCGAGCGUUGUCCGGAAUUAUUGGGCGUAAAGGGCUUGUAGGUGGCUGGUUGCGUCUGUCGUGAAAGCUCAUGGCUUAACUGUGGGUUUGCGGUGGGUACGGGCUGGCUUGAGUGCAGUAGGGGAGGCUGGAAUUCCUGGUGUAGCGGUGGAAUGCGCAGAUAUCAGGAGAAAUACCGGUGGCGAAGGCGGGUCUCUGGGCUGUUACUGACACUGAGGAGCGAAAGCAUGGGGAGCGAACAGG
rnacentral:rRNA from 1 species